rnacentral:ncRNA from 1 species
GUAACAAGGGGUGCUUUCUCCCAGAUGAGAUCUGGUGAAGGCUGAGAAAAACCCUUUGAACCUGAUCUGGGUAAUACCAGCGAAGGGAGAAAAA